GUGUUUUCAAAGUAUCGAGUCGGUUUGUGUUUUGUUAUCUUAUCAAGAUUUAGCUAACUCCAAAUCUUUGUUAAGAUUAGUUUUCAGAGUUUUAUUAGGAUUUGACGUUAUCGUUUAAGUUGUAUAAAUAACGUCUUAGGUGAGUCUUUGUUCUGCAUUUUUUACAUUGAGAUUAAUAAGAAUAUCGUUUGGUUUUAAAGAGCUUUGAUUCCAAGGCCCUGCAAGGAGGACUUGCACAAACUGUUGAUUUCGUUUCUCUGAACGAUCUCAGCUUUAUUUCUCACUUCCCGUUCCUUUUACCACCACCGUCUCUGUUCUUUCUUCUUCCUCUGUUUUAUUUCCCCAAAACAGAGUCUCUCUUCUUCUUCGCGUAGCUUCCGCCCGUAUCAGUUGGUAUCAGAUUCUUGCCUUUCCUGGAUUAGAGUUUGUAUCACCGAUGGCUCCACCUAAUGAAAUCGCCGGCGAACAGAAACCAGACCCGACCAUUAAUUGGAUUGAGUUCCGUGACACUCUCCUCGCCUCUCAAGCAGCAAUGCAAAAUUCAAUUCGUGAAUUGAGUCAGACUUUGAUCCAACAUCUUGGUGCUGCAAAUCCCCGACCCGUAGCAGUGGCCGCAGCGCAUCGUCGUCAACAGGCUCCGCCGCCAGCAGCCGACGAUAAUCAACAACACGACCAACAGCUCAACCCGUUAGCCAUUGCCAAUCCAUAUCAACAGGAGGUUUUGCCGUUCAGACCACACGACCAUCGCCAGCAAGACACACGAUGGGAAGCCGGCUUUAAGGUAGAAAUUCCAGAAUUCCAUGGUGGAAUUAAAGGAGAUUCCCUCAUCGAUUGGCUCGUGACAGUAGAAGAUACAUUGAACUAUAAACGACUCCCUGAUGAUCGCCGAAUUCCCUUAGUAGCUACUCGUUUCCGUGGUCAAGCCGCGUCAUGGUGGCAGCAGCUCAAAACAUCACAGGCGCGUUCUGGCAAGGAUCCGAUUCGCUCUUGGGAACAAUUGAAGAAAAAGCUAAAAGCAACAUUUCUUCCUCACAAUUAUGACAGAACCAUGUACACGCGUCUCCAAAAUCUCAAGCAAGGAUCACGCUCAGUUAACGAGUAUGCAGAGGAGUUUUACCUGCUCUUAACCCGCAACGAACUCUAUGACAGUCAAGUACAACUGGUCUCAAGGUUCAUCGGAGGAUUGCGUGCUCAAAUUCAGAAUUCUAUGUCUCAAUUUGACCCAGCAACAGUAGCUGAAGCUCAUCAACGAGCUUCCUCAUUUGAACAUCAGUUCCGUGUCUCACCUUGGAAUCAGAGUUCCACACGGUCUCGCAACCCAGAACAGUCCAACCUACAAACCACGCAGCCAGCACGAGACAGUCCCGAGACUUCUACGACAACAACGCGAGGAACAAAUCAAGACGGCGAACAAGGACUGCGUCGUUCUGCUCGUGGUACCAGCUCAUUACGGUGCUACGCUUGUGGAGAAAAUGGUCACCGCCAAAACGCAUGCCCCAACCAAAAACAGCGGGGUUUACUAGUAGAUGAGGUGCAGGAAGACGAUGCAACGGAUGACGAAUUAGGAGAUGAUGAGGAGUCCCAAAACUCAGAGAUCCGCAAAACUCCGGGUGAUACGGGUCAUACUUUAGUGAGUUACACCACGUGUUUAACACCGGAGCAAAGGGAAAAGCAUUGGCUGCGCACCAACAUAUUUCGCUCCACUUGCACCAUCAAAGACCGCAUUUGCACGUUUGUCAUCGACUAGGGAAGCAGCCAUAAUCUCAUCUCAGAAUCAGCGGUACAUAAGUUGGGACUGGAAAUUGAAAAACACCCCUCUCCUUAUGCGCUCACAUGGUUUCAAGAUGGAGUAGCAGUACGGGUCUCACAUAGAUCCUAUGUCCCUUUCUCAGUGGGAGCAUUCUACAAGGACAGAAUGUACUUUGACUUAGCCCCAUUGGAUGUUUGUCACCUUAUCUUUGGACGACCAUGGGAGUAUGACCGCAAAAUUAUGCACGACGGGGUGAAAAACACAUAUCAGUUCAUUUGGGAGACACACCAAAUUUUGCUCUUACCGUCGCCGGACUGGCCGCUACCACCGCCGUCAGCUACCAAACCCCCUCCGCAACACAAGACUUCUACGCUUUGCUCACAAGCAGUGUUUGAAAAGGAGUUUAAAAUGGAAGGAUUCGCUCUUGCCCUGCUCACACCGGCUUCACCAACGGCAUCGCAAGUAAUUUCACUGGAGUGGAGUUCAAUAGUUAAUGAAUUUGCGGACAUUUUUCCUGAAGAGCUCCCACAAAGUUUACCACCGCUGCGAGACAUUCAACACCACAUUGACCUCACCCCUGGAGCAACACUUCCUAAUCGCCCUCACUAUCGCAUGAGCCCGCAAGAACAUGAGGAACUACGUAGGCAAGUCGAAGAUCUCUUGCGAAAAGGCCAUAUUCGCGAAAGCUUAAGUCCAUGUGCGGUACCAGCCCUCCUUAUUCCAAAAAAAGACGGCACUUGGUGGAUAUGUGUCGAUAGUCGCGCUAUUAACAAGAUCACUGUACGGUACCGAUUUCCUAUCCCGAGACUAGAUGAUCUACUUGACCAGAUUGGCAAAGCAACUUUGUUUACCAAGCUUGACCUCAAGAGCGGCUACCAUCAAAUUCGUAUACGUCCUGGAGAUGAGUGGAAGACGGCGUUCAAAACCCGGGAAGGGCUAUUCGAAUGGUUAGUAAUGCCGUUUGGCCUAUCCAAUGCUCCGAGCACAUUUAUGCGGGUGAUGAAUCAAGCACUCUGUCCGUUUAUCGGUAAAUUUGUGGUUGUCUAUUUUGAUGACAUCCUUAUCUUCAGCUCCUCUUUAGACGACCACAUUUCUCAUCUCCGAAAAGUUCUCACCAUCCUACGAGAAGAACAAUUGUUCGCUGCCCGCCAAAAGUGUGUGUUUGGAUCUACGGAGGUGCAGUUUCUGGGAUACAUAGUUUCCGAUAAGGGACUGUCAGUUGACAAUGCCAAAAUAGAAGCCAUACGCUCAUGGCCACUACCACGCACUGUCACGGAAGUUCGCAGCUUCCACGGCCUGGCCUCUUUUUAUCGGCGGUUUGUACAUCACUUUAGCAGUAUCAUGGCACCAAUCACAAGUUGCAUGACCAAGGGUAAAUUUGAGUGGACACCGGAGGCUACUACAGCGUUUGAGCUGAUCAAAACAAAGCUUACCACAGCACCCAUUCUCGUGUUACCAGACUUCUCGGUCAUGUUUGAACUACAUUGUGAUGCUUCCAAGUUAGGCAUUGGUGCGGUGCUUAGUCAACAAGGCCGUCCGGUCGCCUAUUACAGUGAAAAAUUAAGCGGUGCACGCAGACGUUAUAGCACGUACGACGUCGAAUUCUAUGCGAUAGUACAAGCCAUCAAGCACUGGCGUCAUUACUUGGUCCAUCGCGACUUUGUCCUUUUCACGGACCAUGAUGCCUUACGUCACAUUGAUAGACAAGCCAAAGUUUCCACAAGACAUGCUGCCUGGAUCGCUUAUCUCCAGCAGUUCACGUUUUCGAUUAAACACAAGGCGGGAACGCUUAACCGGGUUGCCGAUGCCUUGAGCCACCGCCAUACAUUGUUAGCCUCGACAUACACGAUGGUCCCUGGUUUCGCGUCCUUUGCUGACUUAUAUGAGUUGGAUGUCUACUUUGCAAAAGUUUUCAAGGACACAGAACAAGGUCUUCUCCCCGAUUUCUCCAUUCAAGACGGCUUUCUAUUCAAGGGACUACGUCUUUGUGUGCCGUCUUGCAGUUUACGGCAAUUUAUUAGAGAGCUUCACAAUGAAGGCCAUUUAGGGCGAGACCGCACGUUACAACUUCUCACUGCCUCCUAUUUUUGGCCCUCUUUGCGCAGGGAUGUGGAAAGAUUCGUGGAACGUUGUCGCGUUUGUCAACAAGCUAAAGGAAAGGCGUCCAAUGCGGGUCUUUAUCUUCCCUUACCAGUACCUACACAACCAUGGACUGACUUGAGCAUGGAUUUCGUCUUAGGCCUGCCCCGCACUCAACGUGGGCAUGACUCCAUUUUUGUGGUCGUCGAUCGUUUUUCGAAGAUGGCGCACUUUAUCCCUUGCAAGAAAACUACCGAUGUUGUGAGUGUCGCUACUCUUUUUUUCCGAGAAAUCUACCGGUUACAUGGACUGCCGCUAUCCAUCGUCUCCGAUCGAGACACCCGGUUCUUAAGUCACUUUUGGAGGUCUCUUUGGAAGUUACUUCGCACCAGUUUAGAUAUGAGUUCCGCCUACCACCCGCAAAGUGAUGGACAGACCGAAGUCACGAAUUGAGCUCUUGGUGAUUUAUUACGAUGCUUGGUAGGUGACAACAUCAAGAGCUGGGAUUUAAAGCUUUGUCAAGCGGAAUUUGCCCACAAUCACGCAUCUAAUCGUAGCUCCGGCUUCUCACCAUUUCGUGUCGUCUAUGGAUUGAUUCCUCGCUGUCCUCUUGACUUAACAACACUACCGGACAAGACACGUCUCCAUGGCCAAGCAGUUGAUUUUGUGGAGAAUUUACAAGACAUUCAUCGACAAGCCAAGCUAAAUUUAGAAGCCGCAACGUUAAAGUACAAGAUAGCAGCUGAUUCUAAACGCCGAGAACUGAUCUUUGAACCAGGUGAUUUGGUUUGGGUAGUCUUGACCAAGGAUCGUUUACCACUGCGGGAAUACAAUAAGCUGAAAUCUCGCAAGAUUGGACCUGUUGAAGUUGUGGAACGCAUUAAUGCUAAUGCCUAUCGUCUCCGUUUUCCCUCCCAUAUGCGGACUUCUGAUGUUUUCAAUGUAAAGCAUUUAUCGUUGUUUCGUCGAGACAAUGAGGAUGUGGAUUCGGGGUCGAAUCCUCUCUCACCCGGGGGGACCUGAUGCAGCGCAUCUCUUACUCCUUUUGGGCCGCACAGCCCCGUUGCUUGGGCCUCACGUUUUGGUGUUUUCAAAGUAUCGAGUCGGUUUGUGUUUUGUUAUCUUAUCAAGAUUUAGCUAACUCCAAAUCUUUGUUAAGAUUAGUUUUCAGAGUUUUAUUAGGAUUUGACGUUAUCGUUUAAGUUGUAUAAAUAACGUCUUAGGUGAGUCUUUGUUCUGCAGUUUUUACAUUGAGAUUAAUAAGAAUAUCGUUUGGUUUUAAAGAGCUUUGAUUCCAAGGCCCUGCAAGGAGGACUUGCACAAACUGUUGAUUUCGUUUCUCUGAACGAUCUCAGCUUUAUUUCUCACUUCCCGUUCCUUUUACCACCACCGUCUCUGUUCUUUCUUCUUCCUCUGUUUUAUUUCCCCAAAACAGAGUCUCUCUUCUUCUUCGCGUAGCUUCCGCCCAUAUCACCUUC
rnacentral:lncRNA from 1 species